rnacentral:rRNA from 1 species
GACAGAGGAGCCAAGCGUUGUCCGGAUUGACUGGGCGUAAAGCGCACGCAGGCGGGUGCGCGCGUGGGGUGUGAAAAUGGCCGGCUUAACCGGCCGAGGCCAUCCCAUACGGCGCGCCUCGAGCCGUGCAGAGGGCGGGGGAAUUGCCGGUGUAGUGGUGAAAUGCGUAGAGAUCGGCAGGAACACCCAGGGGGAAACCAGCCGCCUGGGCACGCGCUGACGCUGAGGUGCGAGAGCGUGGGGAGCGAACCGG